GGUGGAGAGCACAGACCAGCAAGGAUGCAGCAUCAUCAUUCUUUUCUGUCCAAUCAGCUCUUGUGUUGGGUCAGACAUGAAGGCAGCUUUGAAGAAGGUGUCAGGUGACAAACCAGUCAUUCUGGUUCUGAUGCACCACACACGAAAUCCUGACUACUCAACAUGUGGGGGAAACUGGUGUUCAGUCUAUCAGAACGUUGUCCUGGUUGUCCAUGUUCUCUUCCAUGAAAGUGUGAAAGGACUACUGACAAGUUCAAAAAACAGUGAGGCAGUCCAACAGAUACACUAUAAACUACUGCAGUACAGUAGCAUUAGCAGGCUCAGAAAUGACCAGGGGACCCAGGAUAUGAGCCAAUCGUCAUGAAGAACUGUGGAAGAAGCUCAUGAAGGUAUGGUCAACAUUGGAGACAAUAAAAAGAAAGGAAUCCUUUCCUUUUUUGGGGGGCGCAAGACAGUGCUGGUGAGAGUGGCUUCUGUGGAGAUUAACAAAGUAUAAGUGUUUAUAUUAAAAAAUGAAUAAAACUAAAGAGCAUAUAUAUAAUCUGAAUGAUCAUGACUAUAUUCCUUAUUAAUAUUAUGUUUCAUAUUUUUUUGGCUAAAAAUGAGCCAGCACAGGACCUGACAUCACAUAAAGGUCCCUUGAGCAAAAAGUGGUGCCUUCACCAAUCUGUUUAAGACUAACUGCAAUAAGUCUGAGUCAGACUGAGACAGCUCACCUCCCACAAGGUGAUUUACACAAUCGCCCUGUGACCUCAGUGAUCACCCAGGGGUUGAGGGUGCUGUAUGUUCGGCCCACCCGUUGCCGUCUUAUUUUUACUCUAGUGUGACUGAGCCCUUGGAAGUCUAAACUACAGGCGUCUGUUGCUUGUGAUGUAAUAUGUUCACAGGAUCGGUCAGUUUUGUUCUUUUCCUUUGAUUUUAAAUGUACUGAUGAAUAUUCACUGUUUCCCAUUGACAUUCCUUUCCUCUUCAAACUCACUUAUUGUAAUAAAUAUAUACAUUUUGUGAUGAAA